rnacentral:rRNA from 1 species
UACGAAGGGGGCUAGCGUUGCUCGGAAUUACUGGGCGUAAAGGGCGCGUAGGCGGGUCGUUAAGUUGGGGGUGAAAGCCCAGGGCUCAACCCUGGAAUUGCCUUCAAUACUGGCGACCUUGAGUAUGGCAGAGGUGUGUGGAACUCCGAGUGUAGAGGUGAAAUUCGUAGAUAUUCGGAAGAACACCAGUGGCGAAGGCGACACACUGGGCCAUUACUGACGCUGAGGCGCGAAAGCGUGGGGAGCAACAGG